AGUCGAGCGGCAGCGACUUAACUGAACCUUCGGGGAACGUUAAGGGCGGCGAGCGGCGGACGGGUGAGUAAUGCUUGGGAAUAUGCCCUGAUGUGGGGGAUAACUAUUGGAAACGAUAGCUAAUACCGCAUAAUCUCUUCGGAGCAAAGAGGGGGACCUUCGGGCCUCUCGCGUCAGGAUUAGCCCAGGUGGGAUUAGCUUGUUGGUGAGGUAAUGGCUCACCAAGGCAACGAUCCCUAGCUGGUCUGAGAGGAUGAUCAGCCACACUGGAACUGAGACACGGUCCAGACUCCUACGGGAGGCAGCAGUGGGGAAUAUUGCACAAUGGGGGAAACCCUGAUGCAGCCAUGCCGCGUGUGUGAAGAAGGCCUUCGGGUUGUAAAGCACUUUCAGUAGGGAGGAAGGUAGUGUAGUUAACACCUGCACUAUUUGACGUUACCUACAGAAGAAGCACCGGCUAACUCCGUGCCAGCAGCCGCGGUAAUACGGAGGGUGCGAGCGUUAAUCGGAAUUACUGGGCGUAAAGCGCAUGCAGGCGGCCUGUUAAGUCAGAUGUGAAAGCCCGGGGCUUAACCUCGGAAUUGCAUUUGAAACUGGCAGGCUAGAGUCUUGUAGAGGGGGGUAGAAUUUCAGGUGUAGCGGGUGAAAUGCGUAGAGAUCUGAAGGAAUACCAGUGGCGAAGGCGGCCCCCUGGAC
rnacentral:rRNA from 1 species